rnacentral:rRNA from 1 species
ACUACGGGAGGCAGCAGUGGGGAAUAUUGGGCAAUGGGCGCAAGCCUGACCCAGCAACGCCGCGUGAAGGAAGAAGGCUUUCGGGUUGUAAACUUCUUUUCUCAGGGACGAAGAAAGUGACGGUACCUGAGGAAUAAGCCACGGCUAACUACGUGCCAGCAGCCGCGGUAAUACGUAGGUGGCAAGCGUUAUCCGGAUUUAUUGGGGGUAAAGGGCGUGUAGGCGGGAGCGCAAGUCAGAUGUGAAAACUCAGGGCUCAACCCUGAGCCUGCAUUUGAAACUGUGUUUCUUGAGUGCUGGAGAGGCGAGCGGAAUUCCGGGUGUAGCGGUGAAAUGCGUAGAUAUACGGAGGAACACCAGUGGCGAAGGCGGAUUGCUGGACAGUAACUGACGCUGAGGCGCGAAAGCGUGGGGAGCAAACAGGAUUAGAUACCCGGGUAGUC